rnacentral:rRNA from 1 species
CCUUGCCAGCCCGCUCAAGAACUCAAAGGAAUUGACGGGGGCCCGCACAAGCGGAGGAGCAUGUGGUUUAAUUCGAUGAUACGCGAGGAACCUUACCUGGGCUCGAACGUAAGAUGACUGUAGGUGAAAGCUUACAUCUCUUCGGAGCAUUUUACGAGGUGCUGCAUGGUUGUCGUCAGCUCGUGCCGUGAGGUGUCGGGUUAAGUCCCAUAACGAGCGCAACCCCUACCUUUAGUUGCCAUCAGGUUAAGCUGGGGACUCUAAAGGAACUGCCUACGCAAGUAGUGAGGAAGGCGGGGAUGACGUCAAAUCAGCACGGCCCUUACGUCCAGGGCUACACACGUGCUACAAUGGCCGAUACAGAGGGCAGCUACCUGGUGACAGGAUGCAAAUCUCCAAAGUCGGUCUCAGUUCGGAUCGGAGUCUGCAACCCGACUCCGUGAAGUUGGAUUCGCUAGUAAUCGCGCAUCAGCCAUGGCGUGGUGAAUACGUUCCCGGGCCUU